rnacentral:rRNA from 1 species
GGCGUUGCCAUUGCCCUGGCAUCAUAGCAACAGGAGAGUUCCGAUCUCCAGUCUGGGAUUGAAUCGCCGGUGGGACGCUUUGCCACGCAAGCCUGAACCAGCAAGUGUCGAGACUUCAGCCCAGAAAGAUGCAGCGAAAACGGUGAUAAUGUAUCGGAACGUGCCUAGUAGUGGGGAUAACUACGCGAAAGCGAGCUAAUACCGCAUACGCCCUUCGGGGAAAGCGGGGACCUUCGGGCCCGCACUAUUAGAGCGGCCGAUAUCGGAUUAGCUAGUUGGUGGGGUAACGGCUCACCGCGACGAUCCGUAGCUGGUUUGAGAGGACGACCAGCCACACUGGGACUGAGACACGGCCCAGACUCCUACGGGAGGCAGCAGUGGGGAAUUUUGACAAUGGGGAAACCCCGAUCCAGCCAUCCCGCGGCAGAUGAAGGGCCUCGGUGCCAAAGCACUUUGGCAGGGAAGAAAUGCGCGGAAGGAAUGUAAUUCCCAACCCUGACGGGCACCCAGAAUAAGCACCGGCUAACUACGUGCCAGCAGCCGCGGUAAUACGUAGGGUGCAAGCGUUAAUCGGAAUUCACAUUGGCACAGUGAAGCCGGAAAAGAAAGAGCUGAAAUCCCAGUAUUUAACUCUUAAAUCCAUUUCUUAAUCCGUCACGAGCUAGAGUGUAACAGGAGGGAGGUGGAAUUCCAAGUGCGUAGCAGUGAAAUGCGUAGAUAUGCGGAGGAACACCGAUGGCGAAGGCAGCCUCCUGGGAUAACACUGACGCUCAUGCACGAAAGCGUGGGAGCAAACAGGAUUAGAUACCCUGGUAGUCCACGCUCUAAACGAUGUCAACUAGUUGCUGGGGCCUUCGGCCUGGUAGCGCAGCUGUCGCGUGAAGUUGACCGCUCGGGGAGUACGGUCGCAAGAUUAAAACUCAAAGGAAUUGAUUUGGACCCGCACAAGCGGUGGAUGAUGUGAUUGUCUGGAUGCAACUGAAAACCUUGGCUUUACCCUUUGACGGCCUGGAAUCCGUAAAGAGAUUUGGGGAGUGCUCGUAAAGAGGACCGGAACACAGGUGUUGCAUGGCUGUCGUCAGCUCGUGUCGAGAUGUUGGGUUAAGUCCCGCAACGAGCGCAACCUUUGUCAUUAGUUGCUACGAGCGGGCACUCUGUAUCGAGACUGCCGGUGACAAACCGAGGAAGGUGGGGAUGACGUCAAGUCCCUAUGGCCCUUAUGGGUAGGGCUUCACACGUCAUACAAUGGCCGGGACAGAGGGUCACAACCCAGUUAUGGUGGUUUCAUAAUCUCAGAAACCCGAUCGUAGUCCGGAUCGGAGUCCGCAAACCUGACUGCGUGAAGUGGAAUCGCUAGUAAUCGCGGAUCAGCAUGUCGCGGAAUACGUUCCCGGUCUUGUACACACCGGCCCACACCAGCGGGAGUGGGUUUUACCUUGGUGAAGCAGGAAGUAGAAGGCCCAACCGUAAGGAGGGCGAUUACCACGGUAGGAUUCAUGACUGGGGUGAAGUCGUACUUCGAAGGUAG